rnacentral:rRNA from 1 species
AAUGAACGCUGGCGGCAGGCCUAAAACAUGCAAGUCGAGCGCCCUAGCAAUAGGGAGCGGCGCACGGGUGAGUAACACGUGGGAAUAUGCCUUUUGGUACGGAACAACCUCGGGAAACUGAGGCUAAUACCGUAUGGUCCCUUCGGGGUAAAGAUUUAUCGCCAAAAGAGUAGCCCGCGUUGGAUUAGCUAGUUGGUAAGGUAACGGCUUACCAAGGCGACGAUCCAUAGCUGGUCUGAGAGGACGAUCAGCCACACUGGGACUGAGACACGGCCCAGACUCCUACGGGAGGCAGCAGUUAGGAAUAUUGGACAAUGGGCGCAAGCCUGAUCCAGCCAUGCCGCGUGAGUGAUGAAGGCC